rnacentral:rRNA from 1 species
GCCCAGACUCCUACGGGAGGCAGCAGUGAGGCCUCUUGGUCAAUGGGCGCGAGCCUGACCCCGCCAAGUCGCGUGCCGGAUGACGGCCCUCCGGGUUGUACCCUUCUUUUGUCAGGGCGCCAUUGGGUCCCCGCGUGGGCUUCGCGCGAGCACCUGCAGCCCCAGCAUCGGCUCCCUCCGUGCCCGCCGCCGCGGUAAUCCGGCGGAUGCGAGCGUUCUCCGGAUUUAUUGGGGGUAAAGGGUGCGGAGGCGGAAUAGCAAGGCAGCGGUAAAAAGGCGGGGCUCAACCCCGUCGUGCCGUGGAAACUGAUGUUCUUGAGGGGGCGAGAAGUAUGCGGAAGGCGUGGUGGAGCGGUGAAAUGCAGAGAGAUCACGCAGAACGCCGAUUGCGAAGGCAGCAUACCGGCGCCCAACUGACGCGGAAGCACGAAAGCGGGGGUAUCGAACAGGAUUAGAUACCCUGGUACG